AGUGAACGCUGGCGGUAGGCCUAACACAUGCAAGUCGAACGGCAGCACAGUAAGAGCUUGCUCUUACGGGUGGCGAGUGGCGGACGGGUGAGGAAUACAUCGGAAUCUACUUUUUCGUGGGGGUUAAGGUAGGGAAACUUACGCUAAUACCGCAUACGACCUACGGGUGAAAGCAGGGGAUCUUUGGACCUUGCGCGAUUGAAUGAGCGGAUGUCGGAUUGGCUAGUUGGCGGGGUAAAGGCCCACCAAGGCGAGGAUCCGUAGCUGGUCUGAGAGGCUGGUCAGCCACACUGGAACUGGGACACGGUCCAGACUCCUACGGGAGGCAGCAGUGGGGAAUAUUGGACAAUGGGCGCAAGCCUGGUCCAGCCAUACCGCGUGGGUGAAGAAGGCCUUCGGGUUGUAAAGCCCUUUUGUUGGGAAAGAAAAGCAGCAGGUUAAUACCCCGCUGUUCUGACGGUACCCAAAGAAUAAGCACCGGCUAACUUCGUG
rnacentral:rRNA from 1 species